AAUCAGAACAUUUUAUUCCCAAAUCUUAUCUUCUCUCUGAAUCAUCAUCAUCUUCCUUUCCACCUGAAUCUGGAGCUCCGAGGUGAUCUCUUCUUAUCCAUAGAUCAUCUUCUAGCCCUCAUUCUCCUUUCCCCGAGCUCUAGUGAUGGUAACAUUGAGAAAGAUGAUGAAAACGUUGGAGCAGAAAGUUGAAUCAAAAAGGUGAUUAUAACGUGAAUGGAGAAGAAAAUGGAGAUGAGGCAGCCGAGAAUGGUAAAGAAUGGCUAUGUGUUUGUGAAAGUUGCUCGCUGUUAUAUGUCAUUGGAGAAACGAGAAGAGGCCGUUGUUUUCUAUUACAAAGCUUUACAUGAACUCAGUGAUCCGGUUGAUCCAUAACUGCAACCUCCAUAUCGUUUGAAUGCCUGGAACUGCUAUUACAAAGUAAUUUCAAGACUGAAGCUAAGUUCAUGCAUCACUUACGAAGCAAGUACAGAGAUUGCGUACCUGCGUAUUCUGAUUGCUGGUCAUCAUUUCACCGAGACAAGCCGACAUCAAGAUGCUGCAAGAGAAAAAUACCUCGAAGCAUAUUAACUAAUGCCCGAUAGCCCCUUGAUUAACCUCUGUGUAGGAGCUGCUUCAAUCAACUUAGCCCUCGGUUUUCGACUUAAGAACCGGCUUGAGUGUCUUGCUCAAGGCUUUGCAUUUCUAUACAACAAUCUUAGAAUCUGCAGUAACAACAGUCGAGAGGCGUUGUAUAACGUUGCUCGGGGGUAUCAGCACGUAGGGCUUGUGACUCUUGCGGCUUCAUACUACGACAAGGUUUUAGCGGUUUACGAGAAAGAAUAUCAGAUGCCGAAACUCCCUAACGGAGAUCCAAAUGUUGCGGAAGAGCGUAAACCUAUUAACUGUGACCUACGCAAAGAAGCUUCCCACAGUCUGCAUUUGAUCUAUAAGCACAGUGAAGCAUUUGAUCUCGCGAGGCAAGUCUUAAAGGAUCACUGCACUUUCUGAGAUAUGUUAAGCACAAUGCACGAAUCAUCCGUGCUCUAUUUUUCAUGUCUUCAUAAAACCCUUAAUUUUGUGUUCUCUUCAAAGGCUUGCUUCCAGACAGGUUUCCAUCUUUCCCGAGCAAUGAUGACCUUAACUAGUUGCUGCCUUAACCGACGUAAGAUCACAGACAAAGGUGAAAGAGAAGAGUAUUGCGAUGUAGAAGAGAUUUUUAAAAAUAUUUUCAGAAAAAGGUGUAAGAGAUUGUUGAAGAAGAGUACUGUGAUGUUGAUUCAUGCUCUCAAAUUACAAGUUUCAAGCUGGGAUGAUUAGAUCCCCUAUUGCUCUGAACCCUUUCACAGUUUUCUUUUGAGUGUUUUGACAACUCCUUCCUCUGGGGAAUGUUACAAGGAUGUAUCUGAACCAAUAAGGAAAUGAAGUGACGCCAAGAAUCUAUGAAUCUCACAGAUGAUUAGUUGGACUAGUUGAAAAAGGAGAUUCAUUUCUGGGGUUUCAUAAGAAAUUGAAUGUCUUUCUAAGUAUUGUGCGGAAGGUUCAAUAUUAGCUUUCUUCUACUGAUUUAUGUAGAAAAGCAUGGCAUUCAAGUCCUAUUAUCUUUAUAAUUUGAGUCUUCUUAUAUAAAUAUGUUAGACUCUAGUGGGCUGGAAUGGGAUCUUGAAGGUCUUCUAUUGUCUUAUUUCAUCUCAGGUAAAUGUUCAUUGCUCUUUUCUCAGUACUUUAACGAGAAUCUACUGGGUUGAACUCAUGAUUUCCUUGUAGUUUCUCGGUAGAAGUUAUUAGCUGGAAUCAAAAGGCUUGUCUAAAGGGUUAUGUGCGUCUCAUUCUAGGAUGUCUUCUGUCUUUUGCUGUUUAAUUCUUAAAACUCCAAACUUUGCUACUUGACCGUGUAAAAUGACUAGCUGCCUUGGAAACAUAUAAUCUCAGGGUCUUGGAUCAAGACUACUCUGAGUGUUUAGGUCUAUUAUGAUGGUGUAAUACAGAUAUAGCGAGAUAUAGAUUUGGGAUGAAAAUUUAGAAUCAGCUUUUCAUUGAUUCGUAAACCUAUAGUAUUGAAACAUAAAAAACCAAUAGAAAAUAUAAUAACCUGAUUCACAUUUCUGUUCAUCUAAAAUCUGAUUCAGUUAGUUUUGUUGUUUUCUUUCACCUUUUCUUGUGGCCUUGUGCAGUGGAACCUCUUUGCUUUGCAGUGUUCUCUUCCAAGACUUGUUUCCAGCCAGGUUUCCAUUUUUCCCGAGCAACCAUGAGCUUAUCUAGUUGCUGCUUUAACCGAGAGCUUCCAUCAACAUAUCAGCCUCAAACAUAUCGUCUUCGCAUCUCGCCAUUGCUUCUUGGUAAUCGGUUAGCUUGCUAUCUCCCGAAGCAUCAUCAAAUCUCACCAGACAACACUUGUUGUUGUUCAGUACCGUGUCUGAGAAGAGACCUCUCGUUCGUGUCCGUCUCCAAGAUUCUUCUCUUCUUUCCUUCGGAAUUGAAUUCAUUGGUAACGUGUUUCUCACGCUCUCGCUUGUGAGAAACGUCGUGUUCUUUAACCCUAAUCUGAGUAGUAGGUUGUUCUUUCGAGUUCCCAUCUACUUUAGCCCUAAUCGCAAGAUAACCUUUUGGAUCUUGUUGGAUUUCACCUUCUUCAAGUUCGCUGUAUUCAACGUCUUCUUCUUGACCUCGUUUCGCGAACGAAAGUUGAACAGAUUUUCUGAAUUCGCUGCGUGUG